GAUAAUUCAAAGAUGAAAAAGACAACUUAGUUCCUCUCUUCCAGAAGCUCACAAUCUAGCAAUGGAGGAAAACACAGAGUCCUAAUUUGGUGCUUUUUUUCACUAUACCAUACCACCUCUCUUGGACCUUUUAAGGGUCUAUGUUGAUUGGUCUUAAGAAACCUCUCUGGGUCAACUGAUUCCCUGCCACACACCAUGUGGGGAGAGACUACUGUGAUCAUCUUCCUCACUAGGACCACAUGGAGUAUGCAAUGGAUGUUUUUUUCAAGAAAGGGUUACUAGCAGACAGGAACAAUGUGCUAACCACCAGCUGUUAAGGGCCUAUGAAAUAUAUCAUGCAACUUCCUUCGGCCUGCAUGGCUUCAGAUGAGAAAUCUACUGUCGUUCAA